GACGAACGCUGGCGGCGUGCUUAACACAUGCAAGUUGAACGGAAAGGCCCUGCUUUUGUGGGGUGCUCGAGUGGCGAACGGGUGAGUAACACGUGAGUAACCUGCCCUUGACUUUGGGAUAACUUCAGGAAACUGGGGCUAAUACCGGAUAGGAGUUCCUGCUGCAUGGUGGGGGUUGGAAAGUUUCGGCGGUUGGGGAUGGACUCGCGGCUUAUCAGCUUGUUGGUGGGGUAGUGGCUUACCAAGGCUUUGACGGGUAGCCGGCCUGAGAGGGUGACCGGCCACAUUGGGACUGAGAUACGGCCCAGACUCCUACGGGAGGCAGCAGUGGGGAAUAUUGCACAAUGGGCGGAAGCCUGAUGCAGCAACGCCGCGUGCGGGAUGACGGCCUUCGGGUUGUAAACCGCUUUCGCCUGUGACGAAGCGUGAGUGACGGUAAUGGGUAAAGAAGCACCGGCUAACUACGUG
rnacentral:rRNA from 1 species